GUUGUCGCUGAUGUUAUAUGGAGGAAAACCCUUCGAGUUUUUACUGACCAUGAGAAUACUUUACAUGCACUACCAUCUGAGACGAU